AUGAAGAUUUACAUUUAUAGUAAUGAUGAUGAUUUUCGUGACACAAAGGGAGGAUCUGGGGCAGCUUUAUUGCCCAGAGAAAAACAUUCAGUGGGUUUUAGUCAGCUAGGCGAUGCCUCAGGUAAUCACCAACCCAUUGUCACUGUGGUAGCUGUCCCUCCUCGGGGACACCUGCGUCCUGAGUUAGCAGAGCAAGGGCUCUUUUUGUGUUUAUAAAAAUACACGUGCCGUAUCCUGGCAUCUGGUCUGGCCGCGGGGCUUUCCAACCUUGGUUCUCGAAAACCCGGCAGCUCUCCGUGGUGACGGGCUGGCUUGAGCUCUGCACAUGUCGGGCAGCUCCCCGAAGUCCAUCCACUAAACGCCAAGAGACACAACCCAAAUGCCUCUCAACAUUGUCCGACGUCCCCAGGCAGGGUAAACGUACCUGAGAACCGCCGCCUGCCAUCAAUGAUUACAAAUUUAGAAGGUGUGAAGUCUGAAUGCUGCCACAGAUUUAGGGGAGUUUUGUCUGUUUUCAAUUAAGUUUCUUUAUCCCAACAAAGAGGCGUUAUCGCCAUAUCUAAAAUGACUUCUUAAAAACUUGUGCUUUCCUCUCGUUCAUUUGACUCCUUUGAAUGUGAUGUCUCCGAGGUUCAGAGGGAUUGGGUCGGGAAGGACGCAGUAAUUCCUCGAGGCCCUCAAAUCCUUGGUGAACUGCUGAGAACACCUUGGCUCUGAGGAUGGAGCCAGGCCAGUCCGUCUCACCUCGGGCAGACAGAUGUUACCCCUGAUUACAUCUGAAGAAGAAAGAAUCUGAUUAUCUGCAUGGAGUGAGUGUAGCAUAGAUAAUCUCACCCUCUCAAAUGGAAGAAUCGCUGCCCUACGGAAGAAGAGGAAGAAUGUUUGCCGAAGCAGGGCCGUGUGACAGAAAUUAAUGAUGCUGCCUGAGUAGGUGGCUCGUUACAUUUUUUCCAGCUUCAGUGCAUGACCCCAGGGGCAGCCGGCCAGUCCCCACCUCGGCCCCACGACAGCAGACUUCGCACAGCUGAUGAGAUGGAGAUGCAGGCACCUGGUCCAUCUGCCGGCUGCUGGCCACUGAACAUUCACCUGUGCUCAGAAAGGGCUUGUGAAGUACCUGGGAGGCUGCCAGAGGGGGAUGCGGGUGCUUCGACAGAACGCCCACACCCGUGUAUCCUGCUCAUUUUCUCCCACUGACCUCAUUUGUGUGACAUUUUCUCUGCAGAUGCAUCCGGAGCCCGUGAAAGACAAUUAUAGUCUGGUCCCUGGUAGGGAACACACCGGAGAAGGCUCAGGGUAGGCAGAAAUAAGUCAGCUUGACCUGGAGGAGUGAAUGGAAGCUUUUUCCCGCUGAUGAGCAGAGUGCUGCAGAAAAUGAGCAUCUAAAUCACAAGAGCGCCUGGCACUGUCCUGGGCACACAGAAGUAAAGCCUGCGGAGUGAAUGAAUGAAUGAAUGAGAGAGAGAGUUAAUCAGUAAAUCGCCUGUGAUAUUCUUUGAAAGGGAAUCCCUCUCAUAAAAAUAAAGAUGAUGACAACGAGAAUAAAUGUAACAUUUACCACAGGCUGAGCACCAUUGCAAAUGCUGUAUAUAACUCAUUUAAUUCUCACAUUUGUGUUCUACAUAAACAGAGACCGAACAGGGUUUCUGACGAGCGAGCCCUCCGUCUGGUUUAUCACGAUGAGGUCGGGAAGCAGAGCGAGGAGAAGCCAAGCACUCGUUCAACCCCCUCUGGAAACUCAUUUGGGAAAAAGCAAAAUGUGAGUGAACCGGCAACUGGAGUUCAACGGGCUCAAAUCCCGGUGGCGAGAGCCAGCGUCUGCAAAUCCCUGGGUCAGGAGAUGAGGGUGCUUUCCACAGAGGGCGCCACCCCGAUUCAGAAGCCGUGGCGGGAUCGCACGUUGAGGAGCUGGCUCAAGACUAAAGCCGGCUUCUGGGGGAGCUCCCCCUCGGCUCCAGCUGGGCUGCGCUAGUUGCUCUAGAGACGCCCAGGUGAGGUAUCCUUGUGAGCACAAUGGGAGACGCAUGAGGCAGGAUCUUUAUUACAAGUUUAGGGCUUCCGUCUGUGAAAAGGAAAUCAACCAUCUCCAUAAAAGUUAAUCUGUGAUUAAGGGGAAAAAAAAGUCAGUAUGUUUAUAAUUAUCUGAGAUUUAGGAAUGAAAAAUAGAGGUCUUCUUUAUUUAGCUCUUUCUCCUUAAAUAAUGCAGCAAGGGGAGAGAUUUUUGUGGGAAUAUGUAAUUUCACAUAAUUGGCUAAGGGAAUUAGGACGCUGCAGCCACUCUACUUAAUGACUGCCUUCUGGAGAGAGACGAGGCCUCGUGGUCGAGCCAGGCUGAGGGUUCCCAGAGCCCAGUGGGAAAACAGGCAGGAGCAAAUGCUGGGGACCAAGGGCACAAAUGGGAAAUGCCUCAUAAAUUCAAACCGGAGACGGGGGCUGAGCAGCACGGCGGCACUCAGAGCAGGCAUCAGGCUGUAGUCUCGCUGCUGGGAGUCUCUAACGUCAGGGAGGGAGACGACUCUCUCCUGAAAGGCUCCCCCCGUUGCCUGAUUAGGCCAGGCCCACUCAGUUACUGUUUGAAUAACUCAUAGAGACCUUUGCUGCAUCCUAAAAUCCUUUCACCUUUGUCAUGUGACGUAAUGUGGCUGCCAGAGUGACCUCCCAUCCCCUUUGCCACAUCCCACUGGCCAGCAGCAAGUCAUGGGUUCUGGAAGCAACCUAAAUGUUUAUUGACAGAGGAAUGGAUAUAGAAGAUGUGGUACAUAUAUACAAUAGACUAUUACUCAACCAUAAAAGAGAAUGAAAUAAUGCCAUUUGCAGCAACAUGGAUGGACCUAAAGAUUUUCAUACUAAGUGAAGUCAGAGAAAGACAAAUAUUAUAUGAUAUUACUUACAUGUGGAAUUUAAAAAAUAGUACCAAUGAACUUAUUUAUGAAACAAACAGACUCACAGACUUUGAAAACAAACUUACAGUUACCAAAGGGGAAAGAAGGGGAGAGAGAAAUUGAAAAUUUGGAUUAACAUCUACCCGCUACUACAUACAAAACAGAUAACCAACAAGGACCUACUAUAUGGCACAGGGAACUCUCCUCAAUAUUCUGUAGUAACCCAUAUGGGAAAAAAAUCCUGAAAAAAAUGGAUAUGUGCAUAUGCAUAACCGAGUCAUUCUGCUGUACACCUGAAACUAACACAACAUUGUAAACCAACUAUACUCUGAUAUACUAGAAAAUGAAAUUAAACUGAAAAGUAAAUAAAUGACACACAUAAACACACAGUCAGAAGAAAGGAAGAGGACUGUACCAGGCACGAGGCAGUGGGUGUGUCUGCCAGGCCCUGGGCCCCAGAUGGUCCUUCUGAUCUGGCUCACUGCGACACUGCAAGGACGGCGUCCCAGGCCAGGUGACUCCUCCUAUGACAGCGAGCCCCGGGUGCCUCUCCACCACACACUCAUUUACUCCUUCAUUUUCCACAGGUGACCAUGUGCCCAUAAGGUGUCAGUCUACACUGGCGUAGGACGCAAAGGUGGAGGGAUCAAGGCACUGGCCCCCAGGUGGCUCAUGGUUGAGUUUGGGGAGGGAGUCCCAAUCCUGCCUGCAGCAGAAGUCCUUAAGUUUCAGUGGGAGUUUCCCAACUUGGACUGGCUCAUGGAAAAGCAAGAUAUUUGUUCUCAUUACUCAGAAAUUGAGGAUGAACUGUCAUCAGGCACAGCUGGAUCCAGCACUUUCUGUCUUAAAAAAUAAUCAGUAAACAAGCCCUUCUCAGUUCCUGUUCUACUCUAAGGCUGAGUCUCCUCUGUCCUAGGACCUUCGUGAACACCACACAAAGUCUGUAAUACUUUUCAACAGCCUGACUUCCAAAACAGAAAUGGUAACAUGCUCACCCACGGUUUCAUGACCAGAGGACAAAACUCACCAACUGCCCAGCAGGGAACACGUGAUUCUUGCUGGCCCCCUCACCACCUCACCUCAGCCAAGUUGGUAUUUUAUACUCUGUCACUUGCAACACUCCAUUUCAAGGUACCAACUUAUAUCUCAGCAUUUUUACAGACAGAAAACCAAUUAGAUGUAUUAGUGCCGUGACUAGAAAUACAUGCUUCAGGCAUGGCUAGAUCUAGGUGUUCCCAUGUUGUCCCUGAGGCUCUAUUUCUCUCUCUGUCUUUGCUGUUUUCCUCUGUACAUAAUCCUUUUCCCUCUUCCAAGUAGGUUUUCUCCACAUGGCAAGGGAAAAUGGCUGUGAGACACUGGAUAAAGGCCAAGGCUAGGGCGAGACAGGUGAGGUGUCUCAGGCUCAAAUUUAAGGAAGGGCCCACUCUCAGGGUUCUGCAAGACUAACCACCCCACACUUUGUGCCCCAGCUGCCCCCUUCCCUCACCCCAGACCCCAGACCCCUGCGCACGGCCCACCAGCUCAGCAGUCCUGGCAGAAAGAGCUCUUCCUUCUCAGUUUUCAGAGACUGUAAACCAGUUCCAGAAACAAGCUUCAUCGGCCCAGCUUGGCCAUGUGCUCCUUUCUGGACCAUUCCUUGCUGUUCUGAGGAUGGAGGACCACUGACCAGAGUGGACCCCAGGGCCUGGGGCGCCAGAGACUGAUUCACAGUCCCUCAAGGAUCAAAUGGAACCAGGGAGGAGCAGCACCUGAAGAUGCCAGCUGGGCAGGUAAACAAACCCCCAAACCCAGGAGCGCCUAAUACUCAUGACCUCUGAGACUCCACGGGGCUGUGUGCACACACGGCUGGCCCUCGGUCACACUCUGGGCUCUGUGAGUGCCUGUCGGUACUUUACGCCCCCACUCUGCCCAACAUGGAGCCCUGGCACAAAGCAGGUGCCCGAGACACGUUUCUACGAUUUUCCAGUUCCGCCCUGGCAUUGCUAACAAGGCUGCUUCUUUCUCUGCCCGUCAGGAAACCCUGAUGAUAUGUAGCCGGGGUUUGGUUGUGUGCCUCCCGUUAGAGACGCGCGGUAUGGAGAGAGGUGUCAGGGAUUCCAGAACUUGUGUUCCUCGGGGACAACUUUCUGGGGACACGUGCGGAUGCAGAACCAGGCCUCUCACUGCAGCCUCGGAGAGCCGCGUGCCGGCCGGGAAAUGCAGGAUUCGGCCUUUCUGUGUGGGAUCAACGAUGCCACCCCUACAGCCUGUGACAUCUCCUCUUUCCAGCCAACGGGAAAACUCGGAGAACGCGGCAGAGGGCGGGCAGCUGGCCUGGGCAUCCCCUCCUGAGCCUUCAGGUAAACGGGGAGGAAAUGUCACCACUGCCACGACCCCGGCUGCGGCAGGCGAGGCCUGGCCUAGCUCAACACGGGGCAGGGCUUGGCGGUGGAUGCGAGCUCAGAGGCAGCAGGGCGGUGGAGGUGGGGUAGUGGCUGGCAGGUGUGCCUUUUAUAAACCAGGGUGGGAGGAUGCUUCUUGGGGAAAAAAUGAGAGUCAGAGGGGUGAGUGCUCUCCACUCCUGACACCACAAGGCGUGAGCACCGGAUGGGCUGGGCCCCCUGCCAAAUGCGGAAGGCCGGUCGAGGCCCGACUAUUAAAACACCCAAAGGCUGACAGCCCCUUAGAAUAAACAAGUUGACGGCUUGCAUUUUCGACGCACACCCUCAGGGUCACGGCUCCCAAUCUGGGGGACACGGAGGGGCUUGUAGAGGCAGCAGGGAGCAGGCAAGGCCAGGGAGACUCUGGAGGCAGAGACGGCUCCGAGGCUGAUGGAAUAUUCCAGGCCCUGCACGCCCCAGGGAGGGAUGGAGAGGAAGGACCGGAUGGUGCCGUCUGGCCUUCAAUGUCCUAGACGUUGUUCUUCCAUCUCAGAAAUUCAGCUUGAAUGCGCCCUUUCUUCUCAAUUGUUUGAAACUUGGAUAAAGUUCUCACUUGUCCUGACUUCCUCACGUAUGGCUCCUGCACACAGUGGAGCGUCUCUUUUCUGCAGGAUGAGGCUGCUGCCGGCUGUGUUUGCUGGUACGACAGGGGGUGUUUCGAGGGUUCAUUACCAAAGAGGUGCCUUGCUCUAAAAAGUCCAGGAAAAGCGGGUUAAAUGAAGCAAAACCAGUGUCUCUCCUUCAGGACUUGUCAGGGCCUUUAUAGGUCACCAGGCACCUGAACCUUUGAGAAGGGAGGGGCACCCAGGUGUCUGCUUUAAUGACAGAACAGUUCUUUCACAGAACAGCCCAUGAGACUUGGCAAGAUGUUGGUUCAUUUUUAUUUUUUACUUUUUUAUGGCUGCACCUAUGGCACAUGGAAGUUCCCGGGCUGGCAGCUGAACCAGAGCUGCAGCUGCUGGCCUACACCACAGCCACAGCAACACAAGAUCCAAGCCGCAUCUGAAACCUACACUGCAUCUUGCAGCCAUGCUGGAUCCUUAACCAACUAAGCGAGGCCAGGGACCAAACCUGCAUCCUCAUGGACACUAUGUCAGGUUCUUAACCUGCCGAGCCACAAUGGGAACUCCAAGAUGCUCUUUUUGACAUUUCAAACUGGAUGACUAAUAGGCUGCAGCCGAGGGCGUCCGUAGGGACCUCAGAGUGUGAAGACAGGUGGAUCCAAUGGCGGAAUCCCUUCAGUUCACAGAUUCCUGCUUUUCUCUGCAGAUGUAGCAUCAUCCAACUCGCAGCUGACAGCCCGGCCUCGCCUCAUCAAUAAGCUCAUUGGCACUAAGUCAAACAAAAACAUCAGGAUUUUCCAAGUAUUUCUGGCCUGAGCUAAAGAUAUGACGUUGUUGCCUCCUUUUAAGUAAAGACAGUUGGAUCCCCUUGCAGAGGUGAUUGCAGGGAAGUCGCCUUCCGGCCCUCCUCUUGGUGGGGUGGAGGUGACCAUCAGUCUUUCUCCAGCAGUCACUGCUUUGGCUAACGUUUAAAACUGAUGACUGCUUUUUC
rnacentral:lncRNA from 1 species